GAGAACUUAGUGUAGUGGUGCACGUCGCCAAGCCGUUAGACGCCGUCGAGGGUACUGCGAAGGCCUUAGUUCGAGUCUGGGAGUUCUCA